rnacentral:rRNA from 1 species
UACAGAGGUCUCAAGCGUUGUUCGGAUUCAUUGGGCGUAAAGGGUGCGUAGGCGGCGCGGUAAGUCGGGUGUGAAAUCUCGGAGCUUAACUCCGAAACUGCAUUCGAUACUGCCGUGCUUUGAGGACUGGAGAGGAGACUGGAAUUUACGGUGUAGCGGUGAAAUGCGUAGAUAUCGUAAGGAAGACCAGUGGCGAAAGGCGGGUCUCUGGACAGUUCCUGACGUGAGGCACGAAGGUCAGGGGAGCAAACGGG